GUAGGGAAUAUUGGACAAUGGGGGGAACCCUGAUCCAGCCAUGCCGCGUGGAGGAAGACUGCCCUCUGGGUUGUAAACUCCUUUUAUAUGGGAAGAACCGUCCUCAUUAAUGAGUGACCUGACGGUACCAUAGGAAUAAGCACCGGCUAACUCCGUGCCAGCAGCCGCGGUAAUACGGAGGGUGCAAGCGUUAUCCGGAUUCACUGGGUGUAAAGUGUGCGUAGGCGGAUAAAUAAGUCAGUGGUUAAAUCAACGGGCUCAACCUGUUAACUGCCAUUGAUACUGUGUAUCUUGAAUAUGAGAGAGGUAGGCGGAAUGUUGCAUGUAGCGGUGAAAUGCUUAGAUAUGCUACGGAACACCGAUUGCGAAGGCAGCUUACUAUUUCGUAAUUGACGCUGAGGCACGAAAGCGUGGGUAGCGAACAGGAUUAGAUACCCGAGUAGUCC
rnacentral:rRNA from 1 species